UACGAAGGGGGCUAGCGUUGUUCGGAAUCACUGGGCGUAAAGGGCGCGUAGGCGGCCGAUCAAGUCGGGGGUGAAAUCCUGGAGCUCAACUCCAGAACUGCCUUCGAUACUGGCGACCUAGAGUCCGGAAGAGGUGAGUGGAACUCCUAGUGUAGAGGUGGAAUUCGUAGAUAUUAGGAAGAACACCAGUGGCGAAGGCGGCUCACUGGUCCGGUACUGACGCUGAGGUGCGAAAGCGUGGGGAGCAAACAGG
rnacentral:rRNA from 1 species